GCCCCCAUCGUCUAGCGGCCAAGGACGCUACUCUCUCAGAGUGGAAACGGAGAUUCAAAUUCUUCUGGGGGCACCA
rnacentral:tRNA from 1 species